ensembl:lncRNA
AGCUAGCUAGCAUUUAUGGCUAGAUAAUGUUUUCUCACUUGCCUAACGUGAGCCAGCUCAUCAACACUUGGCUAAACCACCUUAAGGAUAUUGUGGCAAUCGCCUUUGGUGAAGUCUUGUACAGGUCCCAGCCAUGGACAACCUAUUGGCAGUGAAGAAGGAGAAGGCUCUCCUGGCCUGGGUGAAUAGUUUCUCUCUGGGUGACUACGCUGAGAAGAUGUGUGAGUUGAGGGACGGACGCCUGCUCAGCCAACUGCUUCUCAAACUGGGCAGGAAAGCAGCAGUGUCCUCUGAGAAAUCAAACACAAACCGAGCCGAUUCCAGCAGGUGGCAGACUUCCUGCACAAACAGUGCAGAUAUAAUGCAGACGGUGGAGCCUCCAUCAACUGGGAGAAGAUCACACACACACCCAGCGGAGACGGAGAGACCGCCACACACACACC